rnacentral:rRNA from 1 species
GAUGAACGCUAGCUACAGGCCUAACACAUGCAAGUCGAGGGGCAGCGGAAGGAAGCUUGCUUCUUCGCCGGCGACCGGCGCACGGGUGCGUAACGCGUAUCGAACCUACCCUUUACUCGGGAACAGCCCGGCGAAAGUCGAAUUAAUGCCUGAUGUUUUCCACGGACGGCAUCUGAUGUGGAACAAAGAUUCAUCGCUAUGGGAUGGGGAUGCGUCUGAUUAGCUUGUUGGCGGGGUAACGGCCCACCAAGGCAACGAUCAGUAGGGGUUCUGAGAGGAAGGUCCCCCACAUUGGAACUGAGACACGGUCCAAACUCCUACGGGAGGCAGCAGUGAGGAAUAUUGGUCAAUGGGCGAGAGCCUGAACCAGCCAAGUAGCGUGCAGGACGACGGCCCUAUGGGUUGUAAACUGCUUUUAUAAGGGAAUAAAGUGAGUCUCGUGAGGCUUUUGCAUGUACCUUAUGAAUAAGGACCGGCUAAUUCCGUG